GAUCCUGGCUCAGGAUGAACGCUUGCGGCGUGCUUAACACAUGCAAGUCGAACGAAGCACUUUAACCUGAUUCUUCGGAUGAAGGUUUUUGUGACUGAGUGGCGGACGGGUGAGUAACGCGUGGGUAACCUGCCUCAUACAGGGGGAUAACAGUUGGAAACGACUGCUAAUACCGCAUAAGCGCACAGGAUCGCAUGAUCCGGUGUGAAAAACUCCGGUGGUAUGAGAUGGACCCGCGU
rnacentral:rRNA from 1 species